rnacentral:rRNA from 1 species
UACGUAGGGCGCAAGCGUUGUCCGGAAUUACUGGGCGUAAAGCGCACGUAGGCGGCUAUUCAAGUCAGAGGUGAAAGCCCGGGGCUCAACCCCGGAACUGCCUUUGAAACUAGAUAGCUAGAAUCUUGGAGAGGUCAGUGGAAUUCCGAGUGUAGAGGUGAAAUUCGUAGAUAUUCGGAAGAACACCAGUGGCGAAGGCGACUGACUGGACAAGUAUUGACGCUGAGGUGCGAAAGCGUGGGGAGCAAACAGG